rnacentral:rRNA from 1 species
AGGCCCUUAUGUCCAGGGCUACACACGUGCUACAAUGGUGGGUACAGUGAGUCGCAAACCCGCGAGGGCAAGCUAAUCCCAAAAAACCCACCUCAGUACAGAUAAGAGUCUGCAACUCGACUCUUUGAAGUCGGAAUCGCUAGUAAUCGCUGAUCAGCAGGCAGCGGUGAAUACGUUCCCGGGUCUUGUACACACCGCCU